GCGCGUUCACAGGGUCUGUUGCUAUCCGACGCCACGGCAGCUUAUCUGCGAUUGGUCAGGAGCUGUCCCCGUGGCUGUUUGAAUUGGUCAGCUUGGAAUGUGGGCGGAGCGGAGACGAGAGACUGCCCUUUCCCCUAGCUCCUUGUUGUCUCCAAAGUGCGCCGCGGAAACAGGAUGACGUGCCCGCGGAAAUAACACAAGACUUCAGUGGUCAAGCCAAAUUAUAGCAUGAAAGCUUAGAAAGUGAGAGAGAACAGCCUUUACACAUCAGCACUUGGUGAAUGACUGAAAGGACAGUCCUGACCCACUUUUAUUUCCCUUUGAAGAGAGAGUGACCCAGCAAUGUCCCUGAUGAGGAUCCUUUACUGUUCUGCCCUGCACUACCCCCACGUCACAGCAUCCAAAGGGACACAGGCCAUCUAAAUACAUUCCAUAUUCCACAACAUACAGGUCCAUCCUAUUCCUAAAGUUUGGAUGAGAGAAAGAACUAAAGAGAGGGAGUGUUGCAAAUUAUUCAUAACAAACUGAAGUUAUCAAAAGUGUAGAUUGAGUAACUGUUAUUAGCCAUAUCAAACACUUAAUUAUUUUCAUUAGGUUUGUUUACUUAACUCAGUGUCAGAUUAGAUAAACUGUUUUCUACUCAAUUUCUGAAUUGAAACAAGUUCCUAAAUGAAAAAUGAGAGCUCUGUACUUCUGUAGAGAAUGGGUGAAAUGGUUAAAAAUCUACAGAUCUGGUCAAGAUUUAUAAUAACUUUCUGGACUAAUCUAGAGUAA